GGGAGAUUCAGUAUCUGGGGUUCCACCUGUGGCGGGGGAAGGUCCGGCCGCAGGUCGGUAAGACCGCGGCGGUCGCCGCCUCCCCUCGGCCCAGGACCAAGAAGGAGGUGAGGCGGUUCCUGGGGCUGGCGGGUUACUAUCGGCAGUUCGUGCCGAACUUCUCCGACCUGGCCAGCCCCUUGACCGACCUCACCCGGAAGAGGGCCCCAGAUACAGUCCAGUGGUCGGAGCCAUGCCAGGCAGACGCGUCGGAUAGGGGGUUGGGCGCGGUCCUGACCCAGCAGGUGGAGGGGACCGUCCGUCCGGUGCUGUACCUGAGCCGCAAGCUGUCGGACCGCUAGGGUCGCUACAUCACGG
ensembl:lncRNA